GCAAGAAAAAAAGAGGAAAAAAAGCGAAGAAGACAAAAGGAAAGACUGCAAAGAGAGUGGUUGGAUUCAAUAAAAGAGCUGAGCGCCCAAAAAAUAUGGUGGACACAAGAAAGACAUGUUGCUGGAUUCUUAAGCUACCGCAAGAAUUGCUGCAGAGCAUUCUUUUGGAGGUAGUUCUUGACGCUGGAGACAUGGCAUAUUUGACGCUUUCUCUGGUUUGUUGGAAAGUAAGAAAUACCGUCAGCCAGGACGCUUUCCGGAAAAAGGCACACUUUUUGUGGAUAUUGAGUGUGGACACAAAUUGGUUUCACCAUUCCGAGUCCUAUCGCGAGG